rnacentral:tRNA from 1 species
GCAUUGGUGGUUCAGUGGUACAAUUCUUGCCUCCCAUACAGGAGACUUGGAUUCUACUCCCGGCCAAUGCA